UCUCAAACUGGUGCAGAAACAAUAAGCUACUCUUAAAUGCUGCCAAAACUAUGCUGUUAAGUUAUACCCGGAAAACACACCAUGUGCAAUUUCCAUAGACCCUUCGGGAUGCUCCAUCGCCCAGAGUCGAUGAAAUGAAAGAUCUUGGUGUGUGCUUCGACAAAGUGUUAAGC
rnacentral:lncRNA from 1 species